ensembl:lncRNA
CAGGGGCCGGGACGGCGGCUGGGGCGCUGGGGUCGCCAGCUCCUCGCCCACCUCCCUCCCAGUGGGAGCAGAGGAGGAGGGGAAGUGACUGCGGAGUUGAUGAACUUUGCACAUCCAGAAACGCCAUUUUGAUUCCUUUUCCGGAACAAGUUUGCAUCUCUCCUUGUCCUCUCUCCGCAGCCCACCGGUCCCCACCGCAUCAUGCCUGGGAGCCAAGCGCCCCGCCGGGCCGUAAGUACGCGCCCCGGGCUCCGGCUCGCGGUCCUCGCUCGGGUGGCAGCGGGAUGUCCGGGGCUCAGCCCGAGCGACCUUUUAAAGAACUUUUUUGGGGAUGGGGAGGGUGAGGGCUGCAGAGCGCGUUGUACUUGGGAAACUCCGCGCCUCCGGGGCGCAGGAUCCACAGCCCCACGCCGUGCGGCGUGCGCUCGGGGCGGCGGGGCCGGGGCGCCGGGAGGAGCGGGGCAGCCUCUCCCUCCGGCCGCGCGCCGCCGCUCCUCCUCCUCCUCCUCCUCCCCUUCCUCCGCUCCUUUCCCCUUCCCGAGCCACGGCUCUGCCAACCAGCUCCCGGCGCGAGCGGCCGCAGCGCCCCGCCAGCGGGACCUGAUGCGCAUCCAUAUUAGCCGUCCGAGCGCAGGAAUCCGGCCCGACCCGCGCCGCCGAGUUUAUUUUUAACCAGGACCGCGGGGCCUCGGAUGGUGCGCGCACCGCCGGCCAGAAACAUCUUCCCAGCGCUGCUCUCCAUCUUCCGCCCUCUCUCCCCCGACAUCCUCCCCCCCCAUGUGGGAGGGGAAACUUUUCUCCUACAUACUUUCGAGUCCCUCUCGGGCCGGGAAGCGCGGAGAUGACGGCGCCCGCCAGCCCGCCGUCGCCAGCACCGCGAGAUUUUAUAUUCACUGCCACACGCCUGGCACCUGGUGCUCUGUCAGUACUGGACAAAGGAAUGGAUGAGGCGAGGGUCAUUUUACCUGUGUGGCAGGUGGAAUUCAUUAACUCCAGGAAUGACUACAGUCACCAGUCACAGAGGAGCUGAAGGCCAUUGUGUGACAAGUUAGGAAGAGGUUUCUGCUCCCACCUGCUCGGCCACUGGCAGCCAUGCAGCCCUCAACAACGUCUCCGUGUCCUCAUUUCGAAAGAGAACUAGAUUGAAUUCAUUAGAUGAGAAGCAUUUCAGCAUACCUCUGACAUAGGUCCCUUGGCCUUUUUAAUUAUCUGUGGUGGUCUAUUAGAGAAGGAACUAGAUUCAUCUAGAAGCCUAAGUCCUAAAGCCGAGCCCAAUCUUGAUUAUGGUUAAUGAAAUACUUUAUGCCUUGUUUUUUCCAUCCCUGGAAUGGGCAGAGUGUAUUUCUUGUAACAUAGUCUCAGGAAGUGACAUAAUGAUGCCCACAGGCAGUAUUUUUUUUUCUCUUUUUAAUCAGCACAAGCAAACAGAAAAACCUUUGUGAGGAUAUAAGCUAUUGUCCUUUCACAUGAAGGAAAAGUACCAUAAGUCUAGGGGAAGUCUGAGCAUCCUGAAAGCUGCUUUAGGGCAGGCCUGCAGCUGCAAGACCAUCCAGUGGAGUGAGGCCUUCUUCCAGGCCUUCCUUAACCAUUCUCCUGUGGUUGUAUUUUCUUCUUUUUAAAAUGGAUGCCGGGAGCAUGUUGUGGUUAUUUACCGGUGGUGCCUCUUCUGUCACUAUUCUUGGUUUCUGACAGCAGUUGUUGCUGCUUAACUUCCCAAGAUGGGGUGGGAGAGGCAGCUGUCUGUCUCUGGUCUGAUGUCUGCAUGUUAUCUGAAGGGAGAGACGUGGCCAGAUGUGGUGGUGCCCGUCUGUAGUUCCAGCACUCUGGAACCCUGAGGCAGGAAGAUUGCAAGUUCCAGCACAGCCUGGGCAACUUAGUGAGACCUUGUCUCAGAAUUUUAAAAAUGUCGGGCGUGGUGACACACGCCUAUAAUCCUUGCACUGUGGGAAGGCUGAAGCAGGAGGGUAGCUGUGAGUUGGGGGCUAGCCUGGGCCACAUAGCGAGACCCUGUCUCAGUUCUACCUUUUUCUAGGAGCAGAUAUUUUAUUUACACUGUAGGCAGUGUCUGCAUAUUUCCCAGAAGCAUUUAAUGUCUUUGUUUCAAGCUUUUAUAGCUUUUUCAAGUUGCUGCAGGGAACCUGCAAUAGUUUCUUAGCAAAGGAAAGUGGACAGUAAGUACCUGCACGCUGAGCCCAGGUACAAGCAGGGCUUGGGAAGCCAGUACCCCUAAAAGAUCAUUUUGUUGUACAAAUGCUGAAGCUGGAUUUUUUACAACACAUGCCAAAAGAAUGACUUUCAUGAAAUGGACCUAGGCAAAGAGGUGGCAGGUGGCUAGGGUCAGCUGGCCUCAGUUAAAGUGCUGUGGCCAUCUGUAUAGUAAGACCGGUACCUCCUCCGCCUGGUACUCAGCUGGGUGAGGCGCCACGGCCCAGAUCACAGGCCCUGGUUACUCCUGAGGGACACAGACCCCAAAGCUUUCUCCGGGUGGAAGCCAUCCAAACAUAACUUCAGGAAUUCCAAAGCAAUGUUAUUGUUCCCAGUCUAGCAGAAGUCUGAGUUGAAAUGGGUCCCCAUUAGUGCCUUCCUUUUAUCUUUUAUUGAUGACUGUAAUCACAGUUUUUUAAAAGAUAGAAGUGAGCUAUAAGUGAUACCUUGAGGAUUUUUGUUUAUUGUGAAGUAUAGUUUAAUUGUCUGGGGGUUUUCUCCUUGACUAGCUUGCUUCGGGUCCCACCGAGUAGGUAAUAUGGAGAAAAUGAGAGAUGUCUGAGCUCUUUGUGAGAGAUGUUAUUUGAGGGGAAGGGGGUGUGAAUAUAUAAUAAACUUAGAAAUAACAGGUAAAGUUUUCUCUGAACCUACCUACCUUCUUGAACAGGAGAAAGGGUGAUUUUUAGGUGUACUAGUGCACAAAAUAAUGAAUAAGAGUCUCUAAAGACAUUUCAAUCUAUAAACAGCAUAAAUAUCUUUAUUCAAAAUGGAUUGAGUUCUGAAGCCUGAUGCCUUCAAGAGUACAGUAUUAACAAGCGGCUCUUAAAAGCCUGUCGUUAAUCAAGCAUGUGUUACCCUCAGAGUUUUAUUAAAAAGGUAUGCAUCGGUUCACACCCUCCUUACAGGAGGGUCAGUGUAACAGAAACUUGACAGACAUGUUGAGGAGGGGAAAGAGAUCAAACCACCUUGGCACCUGGCCUCUUCCUUUCACUUCCUUACCCAGCUCUGCCCCUUUGAGAUGUUCUUCCAGAAGGCAGAGGAAGCUGCUGCACUUGGGGUCAUCACCCUGGAUCUGGCGGCGGGAGUGGCCCAGCACUGGGAGUUCCUUCCCCAAAGCCUGGAGCUGACUUGCCACUUUUAGCUGUUGUCAGGAGGUGGGCAGUACUGUUCCAACUUUCCCAGAAGGCCAGGGAAGAGCAGGCAGGAGCAGGAAGGGACUGAAACUGCAGUGGCUUCCUUGAUGCUUCUCUCUGCCCCUGGGGUGUGGGGAGCGAGGGGAUAGGAAGUUGGAAUCCGGAGGAGAGGGUUGGGGGUACAGACCCGGCUGUGGUUAGUAAGCUGUCAUUUGACUGUUGGUUUCUUCUCUUCAGAUGUUGGCAUUCGGGGAAUGCAUUUGAUAAAUUUAUAGUAUGCCAUCACGAGUAUGAUGAUAUGCAUGUGUAUUUUGGGGUGCCAGAUACACAGGCAAAUAAAACUUAAGCCAAAUGCUAAGGUAGUUACUGUUUUACUGAUGAACUGAAACUAGCCCAACUGGCCCAGUUACUUGAGUCGUUGGCUGAAAGUACUCUAGUUAGUGAUUCUUGUUUGGUAUCCCUAAAAACAAAAAGCACUGGAAAGGUGCAGCACUGGAUGAAGGAAGGCAAGGCUGUGGCUGAGCUUCACUCUGUGGUGCUGGGAGGAGAGGUUGGAAGGAUGGGAGUCACUUUGCCUUGGCCUGACUCCUCCUCUUCCUCUCUGGGCCUGGAGCUGCAGCCUCAGCCUUCAGAGUGGCUGCCUGAUGCUAGGCCCACGGCUGCAUUUCAGUGUCUCUCGCCAGUUUCCAGUGUCAUCAGUCAUCACUUCCAGAGUUCCUUUUCCUUUUCAGGGGUACCCAGUCUGACCGUUCAGCUCCUUUUCAGUAGCCCUUCUCACUCACUUAUGCCCAGUCAGGAAGAUUAAUAAUGUGACGUGAUUUACUGUCACUGAAAAAGAAGCAUUAGUUAGCUAGACUUUUACACCUCAGUCAGAUGGUAUUAGACACCCUCUGUGCACUUUAACUCAAGGAUGUUAAAGACCUAAAUCUUUGAGGUAAGGAAAAAAAGGAAGAAAAAGGACAGGCACUUUUCCAAUUGAAGCUGCAUGUUGGUCCAUGUUAAUUAGGCAUUUGUCCCUUGGUCUUGAUGUGAUAGAAAAUGCCAGUUACUGUGGUAUUUAACUGACAUCAAACUCCUGUCCAAAUAAUUCAGUUGGGCCCAGCCUUCUCUCUUAAUUGGUGGGAAGGAAAACUUCGGCACACACCCAAAAAAAAGAGGAAACUGUUACUUUCGUUGGACAUUUAAAAAUUUUAUUCUGAAGGGGCUGAAGAAUACGUGUUUAUUUUUUAAAUUAACUGCCCAUUUGAGCUUUUAAAAAACAGUAACAACCAGAAUCUCCUCUAAAACUCGAGCCCCUCGAAAUGAUUAGCUUUGGUUAAGUCUUCAGUAAAUGACAGUUUAGUAAUUAUUGUUAGCCAAAGUCAAAAAGUAGUUAUUGCUGUCCCCUAUAAGUUAUGUAUGUAUUCUGGAAACUGACAAUGUUCUAGGCUACACGCAGAUUUUUAAAAUCAAUACUGGAAAUUCAUAAAUAGGUUAAGGUACCAAGCAAUUUAAAAACCAAUAUUUUGUGGCAUAGUAAAAGAAGAAUGGCAUGAUGGUUUGGUAGGAGUAAUUAGAGGAAACAUGCCUUUUUUUUAAAAAGCAACUUUUUCCUAGGGGUUAGAGAAGGUAAUCCCUCAGUGACAAGAGUAUAGUUUUCCUUAGUCAUAAGGUAUCUAAAACAAUUUCAAAAAUAAUCAAAAGAUUUUUUUUUUUCUAACCAGGGCUAUACCCUUAUUCCACUUUCAACCUCACUCUGUGUAUGGUUUCUAGCCAAAGGUUCACACAUUGGUGAGUGCUUCAUUUUUAGCUCUGAACUGCCUUUUGGUCCCUGAAUGAAUUUAAUAUGUUAACACUCCUGCACAGCCCAGAAUUGCUUGGCUGCCCCUUGCCCUGCCUGCCUGGUACUGGCUGAAAAGGUACCAUUGUUUGUUCUGCAAACACUGGGUGAUGUUUGUUUCCAAGGUGACCGAUUCUAUUGCUGCGCUUUAGGCAAGGGUGGGUAAGGAAGAGAGAAAGUUGCCUUUAAAACACCUGAGAGCAUCCCAUUCUGAAUAAUCUGUGUCUGUGUAUAUGUGUAAGUUGAAAUUUUAUUUUAAUUGAGGUUAUUGGAGAAAAAGGGGUAGUGUGGCAAUGGAAGAAAAAAAGAGCUCUGAUUCUUAAUUCAAUACAGAGUGAAUGUAAUGAGAAGAAGUAUUAGAAUUACUAGAAGUUAGCUGUUGACAUUUGGAAAACUAAAGAGGGGAAGAAAAAUAUUUUAGAUAACUGAAAUGUUUUCUUUUUCCUUGAAAUAGUUCUUGGCUAUAAUAUAUAUGGCUGUUGAGGUAAAUGUUUCAGAGUAUAAAUAAAAUCAGUUAUGAUAAGGUAGAUGGGCCUUCAAAGAGGUGUGAGAGAACAUGAAAUACAGAUGUUUCAGUUUUAAAUUCUGUACAAAACAAUGUUUUUAGAAGAAUCUGUGGAGCCAUUGAGGUUUAUUUGUGUAAAAGAAAAAAAUUCCAAAGAGAUGACAAAAUAGAUGAAGAGCAUCUUUUCAUGGGCAAUAUGUAUUAUUAAACUGGAAAUUUGGAUUUUCACAUCUUUCUCACAAGAGAUUUUAGAUUUCAAAAUAGAAAAAUAAAAUUACUCUUGUUCUAACCCCCGCUCCCUUUAUAGUACAUGGAUGCCGUUAGCAGAACUUUGCCUUUUCACUCCUAUCGGGUUUAGUACAGUUCAUGCACAGGUUUCAGUAAACAUUAACUACUUUUAUCAGGGCUUGCAGUGUGCUGAAUGGUUAGCAAAGAGUGUGCUGUAAGAGACAGAUGAAAUUGAGAGAGUCCAAGGUCACAUGGAUUUUUUUUUUUUUUAAUUAUGGAGAAUUUAGAGGAGAGAAAUCAGGUUUCACACUUGGAACUGUCCUCUCUGUGGGCCCACUACAAGGCUGCUUUGCCUAACAUUUUUACAUAUUGAGACUCAUACAGGUUUGUUCAGAUGCUCCACCUGAGUGGCAAGGCAAGUAAUUUUGAUUGCUUUUUCUUUCCUGUCAUAUUUUUUUAAAGGUCAUCUGUGUUCAGGGCAUCUUCUAAGAUUAGUCUCAAGGCCCCCUCAAAGAGUUAAGGCAGCAUGUGUCAUGGUUAUUCUGAAGUUCCUUCUGGAAUCUCACUUUAUUCCUUUCUCAAGGAUAAUUCGAGCUGGCCGUCUGAUUGUCAAUUUGCUUCCCACAGUCAGCACAGUAACUCCGCAAACCAAGUGCUAGAAUAAAGUGUUGCCAAAUAUAGAAUAAAAAUGCAAGUUUUAGGUAUCCUGUAAUACUCCCGAACUUUUGCCUGCGUGUCGUUCUGGAAGACAGGACUGUGAUGGGUGCUCGUUUUCGCAGAGAGCGUGCCCGAUUCAGACUCGACUGGGAGGUGCGAGGCCGAGACAGCGGGGCCGCGGCCCCGACCUGCUGCCCGCGUGGGGCUGGGGUUUCGCCUGCGCCGGCGCCCGCAGGAGCCAGCUUGGGCAAGCUCUUCCGAGACAAUGUCCUUUUAAACUCCAAGGCCUCAGUUUAAGCUUCCCAAGUGCUGUGGGAUCCUGAGCUCUCGCCAGGUUGCUGCGCGCCGCCGGACCCUGCAGCCCUGGAGCUCUGGCAGGUGGCCCGCCGGACGUGAGAAGGACGCCACCCCCCAGAGACAGGCUUGCUGGGGGCGGCCACUGUACUCCGGGAAGGCAGUCGCAGCAGCUACUUGUUCGCAUAGAGCAAGGCGGACGGCCGGUCAGCGAGGCUCUGGUAGCCAGAGCUGCUCCGCCGCUUGCUCGGCCGCUUGCCCCACCUUGGCUCCCGUAGUACGCGCCCAGCUAGUGGGCUGCGGGGCCGUCCAUCAGGAUGGCGGGCGCUGAUUUGCCGGCUGGCCGUUGGGGCGGGAUGAGGGCGGAGCUCGGCGGCGCUGGCGGCGGCCUUCGCCUUCUGCGGCGUCUUUCUCAGACCUUGACGCGCUCUCCUGGGCAGCAGCUGCGCUGGCCCUUUGGCUGCUCGAGCAACAGCCCAAUGACACUGAAGGUUUUCAGGAACCCCUUUAGCCGCUGGGUUUAAAAAAGAAAAUUCUCAGGGGGGAAUUAUAAAAAUGAGUGUACCUUGAGCGAGUCCCCCUCUUUUGCUAAUUUACCUCCAGCCCACUUAAGUGUUCAGAAGUUCAGCGUAGGCGUGAACUUGCCCGCUAGCGUUUUGUAUUUCUUUCCCAGAACAAGCCCUCGUUAAAAACGUUGGUUUCCCUGCUGGCCGUUUUGGGGUGAAAGCAGCACAUGGCCUGCGAGUGCCCCCCGAAGCCUGCGGCGGGAUGCAGAGGGGCCCGGGGUGGCUGCCGCUGCCCUUCCGGACCCUUCCUCAGAGACCUUGUCUGAAGUGGCCCACACACCCUCCUUGGUGCUGGGCACUCCCUGCCGUGCUCCAGGUGGAGCCGUGUGCCCGUCUGCCCCUCUCCUGAGAGUGCAGCCUGUGUUCCUGCCUUGUCCGAGCGCUGUUGCCGGUCUCUCCUCCAAGAUCAGCACCAUUGGAAAAGUGAGCCCAUUUACCUGGAUGCCACAUCUUGAUGUUCUCUGUACUCAAAGCACAUCCCCGUGGGGACAACAUCAGCCCUGCUCCUGAUGGCCAGAGGCCACCUCCCGUGGAGAUACCUUGUUACGGUGUACCCUGUCCUACCUGCGUCCUGGGGUCAGCCUUGACCCUCUACAGGUGCUGUAUGAACUGGCAUCUCUGUGUCAUGUGACAAAGACGACCCCGCUGGAGCCAGGGGACACCCACAUUGCCCCAGGGAAGUGUCCCCAGUUCUGCAAGGCACUGUGGUACUGUAGAACCAUGUCAGUUACAUGGCCUGGUCUCGCCACUCUGGGACUUGCCUCAUUUUUGCUUCACUGGCACAAAACCUUUCCCAUACCUUACAAGUCAGGCUCCCACUCCAGGAGAUUCAGAUUGAGCGCCUCUGGGUGAAGGCUGGGAUUGCAUAUUAGGGUUGGAAACUUCUGAUGAGACAGAUGAGUACAUUUCAGCCUCUGGGAUUUUCUGAAACCCUACUGCUAAGAAGGUUAGGAAAUGAUAAGGAAACCCUGAAAUUCUCCUGUGUGAUGCUUGGUCGCUGCAAAGCUGAGCUGUUAAGCAAGGUAUUGUGGGACCUGUGAUAGAACCCUAUAGGCCUUCGGCACAGGCAGGUGUAAAUGCCACUGAUUAAUUUUUUAUGAAGUUGGAGCUCUGACAAUUAUCAGGGAUGCUGAGUAGCUGGUACCAGAUGUGUCUUUUGUUGGGACAUGGAGAGACAGUGUCACAGGUAAUCAGGCUACAGAUGUUUAAUGCCUUGCUCUGAGGCUGUGGGUCUUGGGAUGCCGAAUGUUUUCCUUACGAAAGGAGGAAAGGGUGCACAUAAUGGUUUCUAGUGUGCCUUUCCCUCGCUCGGGCUCCUGGAGUAUUAUCUUCUGUGGAGAUGUUGAUUCAAUUAUCAUUAUGCCCAGCUCCUAUGAGGAGAGGGUAAAAUGGUACGCGGGGCCUCUUUAUCUAGACCGUUUUGCCAGUUUCUGAAGUGACAGCCUGUCACUUCUGAAUUCUAACUGAAUUCAGCCCUUUUUUCACUCCUGCACUGUGAAACAGCAGGAAAGUCAGCCGCUCAUCGUGUCGGGUGCAGACUUUACAGCCUCUGAACAGCCUCUGCUUUUGCAGUCCAUGAAUGCACCAUUUGUUGUUUUGAGCACAACUGUUGGAUACAACUGGCCUCUCAGCCCACUCUGCCUGGGACCAGUGUGCAUCACUGUGGCCUUUUUUUUUUUUUUUUUUUUUUUUUUGGCAUAGGCCAAAUUUUUGUUUUAAAUACCACCAUUUUGUCCACAUUAGAAUUUCUUUGACCCAAUUUACAUUUUGCAAAAAUAAGGUUUUAGGGCCAGGGAUUUAGCUCAGUGGUUUCACCGCCUGCUGCAGAAGCGCAAGGACCCGAGUUCAAUCCCUGGUACCAAAAAAUAAAUAAAUAAAUAAGGUUUGAAUUUGGUCAGAAUUCUCUAGUGAUCCUGAAUAAGUACUUUAGUUUAUUAAAGGAAGAGACUGUUUUGUGGCCUUGUUUUGCACACAGGCUUUAAAUUUUUUUUUUUCAAAGAACAGUGUAACUUUGAAAUUAUAUUUUAAAUUGACUUGAACUGUUUUAUUUUUAUUUCUAGGUAAUUCAUUGUAUUUCUAUUUGACCUUUUUUUUUUUUUUUUUUGAGACAGGGUCUCACUAUGUAGUUCAGGCUGGCCUCGAACUCCUGGCAAUCCUCCUGCCUCAGCCUCCCAAGUGGUGGGAUUACAGGCAUGGGCCACCACGCCUGGCCUCCAUUUGACCUUUACACAUCAUCUCUUUGUCAUUAUUGUCUUCAGUUUAGAAUUUAAAGUAGGUCUCAAAUGUUCUUAUAGCAAAAUAUGAAUAUGGGAAGUAAUAUGUUAAUUUGCUUGAUUUAACUAUUUCAUAAUAUAUAUGUGUAUACUGUACAUAUAUACAAGGUUUUUAUUUCAGUGCUAAGGGUAGUGUACUUAAUGGCUCUACCACAGAGCCACACCCCAACCUCACACAUUUUUUCAACUUUAUCUCAAUUUAAAAUGUAUUAAUUAAAAAGUUAGAGUUGUCAAAACCAAACCCUGCAAUAUAAUACUCUCAAAUAUUUCUAGAGUAUUUGUAGGUAACUUUUUCUCCUCUUGAAACAGGGUCUCCUUCAAACUUGAUACCAUUAGCGUUAGAAUUUUUGUUUUGUUUCUCAUGCACAUUUUUUUGGCCCUGUGUAAUAAUAGGUGUGUUAUAUAGUUGUCUACUGUAACAUUAUUACUUCUUUACAUAUUUUAGUGGAAAGAGCAUAUUAACAUCUUUUUCUUCUGUGCUUUGCUUCUUUAACAGCUGCACAAAAUUGUUGUAAUAUUUCUAAGCCUCACCUGGGCUGAGGAAAUGAAUUUCUGUUAAUAUGGCCGUAAACAUCCUAUAGCAACCAGUUCCGCAGACCUUGACAUCUAGAUCUUCCAUAAAUGAAACAGUCCCUCGCUGAAAAUGCAGAAGCUUUCUGUAGUUGAGUUUUUAUCUGUUGUCCUUCAAGCAGAGGCUCUGGGUUGCAUUUGUGUUUUUGCUAGAAUUGGCACAAACUAACACAUUCAGGAGGAAGAGUAAUUUUUUGUGAGUUUCUGCUUUCUUUUUCAUCUCACUGUAUACAGGGAAAGAUCUGACUUUUUGUGAAGAUUAAGUCUCCCACUACCUGAGGAAUCCUUAAGGUUGAUGAGAAGCAACAGGUUAGGGGGAAAUUGAGCUCAUGUUUUAAUGCUUCCUCUGCAAUUUUUUUAUCCCGAAGUCUGUUCUCAUUUUCAGAGCGUGUUUUACAUCUGUGGUAUCCCUCGUUUUGAUGCUUGGUUUUGAUCUGGGCCUUUAAACUGUAUAAAGUUUCAUUGGACUUUCUCCCUUUACCGUAGUUUCUUAUGUGAUUAAUUAGGUGUGUGGCUUAAAAUGGCAAUUGAAACAUCUCCAGGAGUUUUCACCAGGUAGGAACUGCUUUUCCUGUACCAGAACCACCCAACUACCACCCAUGCGGCUCAGUUGAUGCUUCUGUUGCUACGCAGGUACAUUUCUGUUCAGGAGGCUGCCCGUUAACCCUAGGAAUGCCUAAUGGCAAGCAGAAAAGAAGAAAAAGAAAAGAACUUUGUGCUUCAUGUUUAUAUAAUGCUUUGUUCAGGUGCUGAAAGCUGGACUCAGCCCAGCCCAACCCCCAGUUACCCAUUUGGGGUGGGGGAGCUGGAGCUCCGGACAGCUGGGGCCUGGCAGUUUCUGCUGGGAAGUUGGCUCCAGUCGCCGGUGACAUCUAUGCUGUAGGAUUCAAAUUGGGGGUUUGCCCUCGCUCGGUAAGGAGUGAGUCCAGACCCUUCCUUUGGGCCUUUCUCUCUCUGUCUGUCUGCCUUGAAUUGAGAGCGGUUGCCGUGUGCAUCCAUUUGCUAGAAAGGAGUUAAGAGAACAUACCGCAGAACAGGUUGGGCAAGACUGUUAAAACCAGUGAGGAAGCCUCCCCCCUUCCUCUCCCUCCUCCUCUGCCCACCCAACUUCUCCCAGGAUGUUAAAACAUCCUCAGACUGCCCCGCACACACACGCCCCCCUCCAGGGUCUGGCUUCCCGUGUCCUCGUCAGCGCAUUCGAUGUGAAUAAAAUACUUUGUGCAGACAGGAGCCUGUGCGCGUGAGAUGGGCAGGCAGCCGGCUGCAGGCCCCAGCCGGGCCAGCUGUUUCUCAGGCGGCGCGGGUGCCCUCCGUCGGGUAACAUAGGCCCCAUUCAGUGGCAGCAUUCUUGAGCAUGCAUGUAUGGCUCUGUGGGCCCGCGGGGUGGACGGCCUGGGAGGGACGCGGAGGCGGGGUUGGAGACGGAAGUGUGUGUGUGUAGUGUGCACGCAGACGGACGGGGAGGCGGUGAGUUGGAGUCACUGCCGAGGGUGCCAGUAAGUCCGGGGACAUUGCUGCCUGAAGCAUCCGCAGUCAGCUCUGACUUGUGGGACGACCAGGGAGCUCUGGGGAAGCCAGUUGGGGGUCUAAGUCCUGCACAGUGCUUGCAUCCAUUCGCUCCAUAAACACCAUAUAUAGUCACGCCUGAGCUCACUAUAGCACAUCGUGGGGAACCCCUCCUAACGCACAGCCCCUCUGGCACUGAGAAGCAGACUCACAUAGGCCAGUCCUGGUGUGCCGGGGCCUGCUUCUUGGGUGGGGGUGGGGGCAUUUUUCUAUCUUUGCGCUAUUUAGAACGCGUUUCGCUUCCUGGCUCUUCUGAACUGUAUUGUUACAGAAGGAGAAACCGAAUUCCCUGUGUGCAUCUGUUUUCGAACAAAAGCCUUGUUUUUCUUAGUAGCUUUAACAUCUCACACAUUCUGUGUUUUAUGGUCCUGGAUCUCCCGCUGUCUGUUUUUGGAGCAUCUUUUCCCUUUGUGAGGAUGAGCUCUGCCCUGUGAUGGGCUUUGCUUGGUGAUGGCUGUAGAGAAGUUGCCUUUGUGUACCACGUGUCACCUUCAGCUGGCCAGGGCAGGGCAUAGCUGCCCGCAGGACUGACGGCAGCCGUUUUCCACUUGGCAGCACUGAGCCUGUGAGCAGGGAAGAGACAGUAACAAGAAAGAAAUGCAGUUGUUGCAGUUGGUUUUCUUCCCGCAUAAAAUAUCUAGGAUACUGCGUUUCAGCUUGGAGUGGACAGCAUAAGGCACUUGUGGCUCAGAUAAGAGGUCUUCUUCCUUUUCUCCCUCUUAUUUCCUUCCCUUCCUCCCUCCAGCCCCUCACUGCCUUUCUUCUCAGGACAUGUUGUGUAGCUGACCCUUGAGAAAAGAUGAUUUGCCGCACUGGGCUAUUAGGGUAGAGAGACAGAAUGGGCACUUUCUUUCCCUGGUCUCCUCCGAGUGAAUUAUGUCUGUGUGUGACAGUUAAUUGUACCAUCCUUCCCCUUUCCUAAGCUGAUAAACCCCUCUCUGUCUGCUUCCAUCAAACCUCUUCGUUUGAGAGGUUCCUAAUGUAGUGGAAGAACAAAGUGACACUUUUCUUAUUUACUGAAUUCUCUCUCAAGCACAUUCACAGUGCCCUUUAUGGUAUUUUUUAUAACUUUAUUUUUUCAACUUAUAGAAUUGAACUAUUUCAAGUAGGACGAGUGACUGAAGUUAAAAUUUCCUCAAAAACAUCAGUAAGUUCGAGGAGAGAAACACACACAGACUUCUAAAAAGCUGUAUGCGUAUUUAUUCCCAAACUAGGUAGAGCACUUGGAAGGUAAUCUUGGUAGGUGAUGUUUAGAAUAAGAAUCUGGGCAUUGCCAGAGGACAAAUUACCAGCACGGAAACGACAACUGAGUGGUAUGCAAUUGACACAGUAGUAAUCUAUCCCCUAUGUGGUGGUCACUUGUUUUCCUUCUUAGGUCCAGGAUAUUCAGUUGAUGAUGUGUAUGUGAAAAGCUAGCAGGACUGUUUUAUUGGGGGAGGGGUGUGCAAAAUAAAACUGUGAAAAGGCACAAAGAUGCUAAGAAAUCCAGGUUGAAACAUGCCUCCCUUUGAUCAUUUAGGCCCUUCUCUUAGCACUAUUCAUUCUGGCUCUGAUCGUCUUGUCUCUCACAUUUCUCAGUCAACAACAAAUUUGAGGCCCCAGUUGGAGGUUGAGGGUGGAGAAGAGCCACCAGACAGCAACCAGGAAGGAUAUCAGGAUGAGACAAGAAUAGCCGGUUACCAUUGGAGGAAAUUGAGCAAACCGAACAGAAGAGCUCUCUGCGUUAUUUCACACAACUGCAUGUACAUCCACAAAGCUGGCGAUAAAACAUAAAAGCAUGGCCCACUAAGGCAAUGUGGGAUAGGGGCAAAAACUAAAGUAGGGGUGUUUGCUGGUUUCCAGAGGCAGCCUUGUGUAAGAGUUGUUCAUUGUGCUGAUCCUGAGUCAUUCCCAGAAGGUUAGAUUAAUCAUACAUUGAUUCACCACACUCUGCUUAAGGGGAUUGGGAAGUUUAAAAGAUGCUGUAGCGUGACCCAGGGGUUUGAGAUGGAAAAUUAAUUUGAGUACCCUCUACCCUAGCAGUGUGUAGCUACUCUAUGAGUUAACAGGAAGUGUUAGAAUUAACCUUCGGGUAUUGUCAAAUAUGUACUAAAAUAUUAUUUUGCCCAGAUUUGUAGAAGAAAACUUAUUUAUUAGCAGAUUUACAUCAUGUCCAGAUACCAUCAUCAAGUUGUUUAUAUGCCUAAAGUGAAUUUUUUUUGUACUUAAAAUUAAAAGAAUAGAGUGCCAAGGAUUUUUACCUUUUUACAAUAGAUGAUAGAGAAGCCCUGUGGAUGCCCGAGUAGUCAGAUAUCCUAGACUACAGUCCUGUAGAAAAGGUAUCCUGAACUAAGGAAGCCUUAGGUAACUUAAAUAUAUAAACAAGUUAAUUUCAAACCAUGAAUGGAUACAUUGGAAGGAAGGAGUGUUUUUUCCUCUCCAUUCCAACUAUAGACUCAUUCUGAGAACCAUAGAAUGCUAGACCCAGAAGGGACUUGAGGGGUCCUGUGGCCUGGUUUUAUCAGUUUGUCUUCAUUUUACUCAUUAUUAUCAGCAUAAAGUAUUUGCAGACAUUUUCAUGGCAAUUAGUGUCGAAAGCUCUCCAGAGCUGCUAACACUUGCUAAUGGUUCUCACACAUCUUGGUUUUAUCACCAUAAGUAUGAUGGAGCAUUGCUGGACCCAAGGUUUUAAUAAUCAAGCUCAUAAAUAAUAUUUACAUUUUAAAAAUUUCAAAUACUUGAAUAUUAGCUUUACUAGUUACUAAGUUUCAUUCAGUUCUUUGCACUUAGACUUGCUGUAAUGCAGUGUUAACAUAUACAUAAGGUUCGUAUAAACUUCUCUUGCUAAUUCAGAUACAUUUUCUCAUAAGGAAAUUGUUGCUUUGAAAAUUUAAUUAGAUUUGAAAUUUGGUUGUAUGAGUCUCCAUGGAAACUGUAACUCCUGAUUGCCAUGCUGAAGGUGGCAGGUAUUCUCUUAACAAUGUAUGCGUUUUUGACAAGCAAGGAUAAUGCAUAUGAAUUACAUACAAGAAAUGGGAAUUAAUUAGUUGUUUGGGUAUUAGAUGCUCUAGGGAGGUGGAAAGGUAAUAAAAACCAGGACUUAGCUGAUCAUGGUGGUGCAUGCCUGUAAUUCUAGCACGCUGGGAUUACUAGGAUUGAAAGUUUGAGCCCAGCCUGGGCAAGUUAGCCAAGACCCUGUCUCAAAAUUUUAAAAAAUACAAAAAGGGCUGGGGAUGUAUCUCAGUGGUGAGGCACCCCUGAGUUCCACCCCCAGUACCACAAAAGCAAGCAAGCAAGCAAAACCAAAAAACCCCAGGACUUCCCAAGAAGUAAGUAGCGUGUCUGGUGUCUGACCCUUGGGGGGGGUCAGCACAAAGGGGACUUAUUGGAGGGAUGUGACGGAGGACUGGAAGAGCUUGCCUUUGAGAUGGGUGACAACCCCUGGAAGUCAUCUACAGCCGGCUGCAGUGGUGACUCGAUUCGAGAGGACCUGCUUGUGACAUCUGCUGAGUAGGCAGAGCCACAGGGUCAGCCUUAGAGGUUGGGGUGGUCAGCCAGUAGAGCUGGCGGCGCCAGAGAGGGGAGCAUGCAGGCAUGGAUUGGAACAGCUGCUGGCCGCCUGCAGAUCAGCCUCUGUGAAUCACAGGCACAGAGAGCUCAUUUGUGCCACAGGGACCUUGGUGGAGAGAGAACAGGAAGGUCCCGUCCUCGUCCCCCCGCCCCGUGCUCUGAUGCCUCCAGAGCAUUUUCUAGACAUUGCAUUGAAGUGUUGGGCAGUUAGCAUGUCAGUCCAUAACAUGCAUUGUUUUUUUAAACACAGUCCUAAUCUUUCAUUUAAAGUAAACGGAAUUAGUCUGCUUUCAAAGUUGACUAAAAUCAGUUUCACUAGACAUCAUGGGUAGUUUAUAGGGAGGGGAGUGGGGACCCAAAGAGAAUUUACUCAAUUGAUUUUAGAUUGUUAGAGGAUUGAAAUGUUACUUGAUUGCUGGUUUUAUCCAGGAUUUUGAGAUUUUAAGGAAAAGUAGACAAUGCCUGCUUUCAUCCAAGGGAUUCCAGCAGUCAUAUGAGCUAUAUGCCAGCUCCCGAGGGCAGCGGCAGCCGGCAGCCUCUGCUACACAAUCCUGCAGAAAGGAGCUUCAGAGUGGGUGGGAUGUGCUGGCUUGGGGGCCGGGCGUUUGCAUAAUGCUGCCCAUCUCAGGGUUGUGAUGCACGAAUGGGCUAGAGUUUAUUUGGGUGCAGAUUGGUAGAGCUUAAGGAGGAGGCAACACUAGGAAGGCCAACUGGGAGCAGCAGUUUUCUGUGGCACCUAGGAGAAGCUGCCCUAGGACAGGCUGGGGACAGGAAUCAUCUUGUUUAGCUCUCAAGAAGAGGUAACUGAUAGGUGGACAACAUAUAGGAGUCUGAAACCACAAACCUCCCUAGGCAUAAGUAAAUGGAAAGGGGAUUUGAGCUAUAUAAAGGAUGCCAUUUAUAAACUCCCAGAAAUUUCCUUGUAGCUUGACCCCUGUCUUGUGAUGAACAUGACUAUGGUAGAAAGAAACUGAACAAGUUAAAUCACAAAACCCCUACAUGGCAUUGCUUUUAUAUGGCUUUCAGUCUCUGAACAUUGGCUGUUCCAGUUGCCGAUGGGCACGCACAGGCUCUGAUUUGAGGAGAGAGCAUGAGUGGUAUGAAAUCACCUGGCUGAGUGACAGGGACUGCAGGGGCCCUGUGGGAGAGUACCAGCAAGUCGUGAUGCUAAGUUUUCUUUCUUUGUAUGUUUAAUAAUAAAUUUAUCUUAAUUGCCCAUUACUGCUUUCUCUAGUACUAUUCUAAGAGAAUGUUCCCCAUGUUAGCCCCUUACGAAAAGUAAAGAAAUAAUCCUGUUUUAAGGUGUACAUGGAGACUUUAUUGGUUUCCCUAACAUCUUAAAAUUAACAUGUCGUGUGAUGUUUUGGAGAAGUAGACCGUCUCUCUUGGAGGCUACGGCAAGAGGAUCACAAGUUCAAGCCCAGCCUGGGCGACUUAGGGAGACCUUGCCUCAAAAUGAAAAGGGCUGGGGAUGUAACUUGGCACAAAGUCCCAGGUUCAGUCUCUAGUAUUUACAGAAAAACAAAACGUAGGCCCUCACUAAUGCUAAAUUUUUGUUUUCUUUUUUCUUCCUUUUUUUUUGGUCCUAAACUGGGUUCAAGUGAUCCUUCUGCCUCAGCCACCUGAGGAUCUGGGACUACAGACUUGGCCUAGGUUUUUAUUAUUUUUAAAUGACUUGAAAAGAGAAAAAAAAUCCACUCACCAAAAGUAAGCAACUCACAGUGCUGAAUAGCUAUAAAAAUGUUAGAGAAAUUCACCUUUCAGCAUUGAGGCCUUUUUAUUUUCAACUGAUUUUACAGUUGAGUUGUAACUUGUGACCCAGUGCAUUAUGUGAGUGUUGACCUUUCUGCAGGGGAGCCAGAUGUGCGUACCUAAAGGGAUGGAAUGUGACACACCCCGACAACAAGACCUUCAAGAGGCCCUCGAACUUGAAAAGGCCAGAAAGGCCAGAUGCAGUGAGAUCCUUCAUCUUGGGGCUGAGUUUCACCAUUGCUGGGUAGGGAACCAAAGCCACGGAGUUCCUCAGGAAAAGACUUUAAAGUGUGGGCUGCACAGGGGCUGCUCUCUUGCUCCCCACUUUGCAGAGCACCAGGGAGAAUUCUAGCAGGAAGCUCUGCCCCUCGGAGAAGAGUUGGAGCGCAGAUCCUCUCUGGAGUCCUGGGUGCCCUCCAGGAGGCGCUGUCUUCAUCUCGAGCCCCUGAGGUGCUCUGGGGUGCUGUUCCGUAUUCACUUUCUUUCUCCCCUCCGGUUCUCGAAGUUUGGUCUAUUCCCUAAAUUUUCUAGUUUCAGGUUUUUUUCUCCCACCUGUUCUCCUGGGGUUUGGACCUAGGGCCUUGCUCAUGUUGAGCCACACCUCCACUUCCCUAACAGGUUGUUAGUCAAGGUAUUUUAGAUCAGCGCUUCCCGAUUUUUUGGCAUUAGGGACAACUGUAGUUUUGAGGAAGCCAGUGUUUCUACAAACUAGGGGGAGGGGAUGUUUUAUUUAUUUUAUUUUAGUUUCUUUUUGCAAUUAUUAUAUUUCCAAUAUAUGAUAGUUACAUUUCCCAGCACUACCAUCACCACCUCAAGUUGUCAGUCACUAGGUUCUCAUAGGAAACCCAAAACAACCCUUUUAUGUGUAGUUCACAGUAGGGUUCAAGCUCCUAUGAGGGUCUAAUCCCCACCCCCAUUUGACAGAGGUGGAGCUUGGGAGACAGCGGGCACAUGAGUGAUGCGGAGCAGCUGGAAGUGCAGAUAAAGUGGCCCUGGCUGGCCCACCGCUCACCUCCUGCUGUGUAUCCCAGUUCCUAACAGUCCACAGACCUGCACUAGAGCCCAUUCUAGAUUAUGGUUUAUUUUAGCUCUUCCCUAUGUGUGAGGGGAGAGGCGGUGGUAAUUUUUGUUAAGAGGAGACUUUUUGUAUUUCAUUCCAAAAUAGUCUGGUAGGUGGUGUACUGUGGACAGCUUCUUACCUGUCUGUUAAAUUAUAAAAUGUUCCUAAGAUAGCUAGAAAAUGCUGAUGCUCUUUUCUCUGUUUGGACAAAAAGGAUAUCAAUCCACAUAUAAUUAGAUAAAAUAGAAACCUGUACUCUUGGUGUGCUGGCAGAAGCUGAAAUAAAGUGAGAGGCGUCCAGUAGUGAGAGAGGCGCCCUGUGUACCGUCAUCCCCCUAAGUCCACAGAACAUCAGCUCCAGCCCUCCCUGGGCACCAGGGAUGCUCAGGGGCUUGGUUUAGAGUCACCUAGUAUUUGCAUGUAAGCUACACACAUCCUCUGUAUGUGCUGACUCAUCCAUCUGUAGAUGACUCCUGAUAUCUAAUACAGGGCCUGCAGAGCACUGUGGUCACGUGAGAAUAGUGGGGUGCUUCAGCACACAGCAGGGUUUUGGAACUUUUAGGGUCUUACUAUGUAGCCCAGCCUGGCUUUGAACUCAUGGUGAUCCUCCUGCCUCAGCCUCCCAAGUGCUAGGAUUAUAGGCAUGUGCCACCAUGCCCAGCUUCACUUUUUGGAAUUUUCUGGAAUUUUUUGUGGUUGAAUCUGAUGUGGUACCUGCAGGUGGACAGGACUGACUGUAUAUGCUUUGUUUCCUAGGGCUCUCGAUCAAAAUCCUUCAAUGUAUUUACAUAUUUUCAGUAUUUGUUUUCUAAAUUAUUAGCAGUUGUUUCAUAACUGUAUUGCAGCACAAGGAAUUUUUACCUGUGAUGAGAAACAGACCUAAAAUGGGAGGUUUAGAAAAAAAUCUGUUUUGGUAAGUAGAAAUAAAUGAGAAUAGGAUAGGGUAGAAAUCCUGGCUAACUGAUUUUAUAAAAUACAUCCUAUGUGCAUCGAUAGGCUGGCCUUAAUAAAACUGAUGAUGUGGCUAUCCAUGAUAUAAAGAUGAUAGGCUUGUUUAAUUCAGGUUAGGCUAAGCUAUGCUGAGGUAUCAAAUAAACUUUGAAAUCUAAGAGGCUCAGCCAAUAAAAUGUCAUUACGGGGCUGGGGAUUUAGCUCAGUGGCUCUGCCGCCUGCUGCGCAAGCCCAGGGACCUGAGUUUGAUCCCCAGUACCAAAAAAAUACAAAAAAAUAAAAUGUCCUUAUUUGUUCAUAAGUAGGGCUAGCUUGCUCCCCAGCACACUUCCUUCCAAAGCCGCAGCUGGGGAUCCAGGCGGUGGUCAUCUUACAGCAAGCUCCCCUGCAGUGCGCGUGCUUCCAGCCGGCCACCGCCAGGAGAGGCCAGGUGAGACUUUCAGCUUUGCAAACCUUCAGCUGGAAGUGAUGAGCAUCCAUUGUGCUCGCAGCCGGUGGGGCAGAACCAGCCCUGUAAUCCGCCUGACCGUGGCGGCCAGGAGUUUUGGGAAGUGUGGAAAUACACGAGGCUCCUCUCUGGGCAGCGAACCAUCGCUCCACUCAUCUCACCCUGGAAGGCUCAGGGCUGAAGCCCAGAACAUAAUGAGUCCACUGUUCAUUGAGCUACACUUACCAGAAUGUGUCCCCAUGCCGGUAGCAGGGCACCAGGGAACAUGCUGGAAACAGAUUCUUAGGACCUUCUCUGCUUUCAUAGAAACUCUGGACGGUGUAGCUCAGUGGUAGAGUGCUUGCCUAGUGUGCGUAAAGCCUUGGGUUGAUCCCCAGCCCUCCAAAAAAAAAAAAGACCCCCCCCAAAGGUAGGGCCCAGGAAUCUGUCACACUAAGUGUUCCCCUUGCCUAAAGUUUGAAAGUGACUUCCUGGGUGAAGCAAAGCUCCUCAAGACCUGUUGGACUCAUGAUUGGUGCCAUGAGCUUGAAGCAUUGGUGGGCACUUGCUAGUGUGCACACCCAGGAAAUGCGUGUACAGGAGCACAUAAAAUAGCAAGUACUUGUAUGGCCUUCACGGCUGCUGCUCACGUGCUUCCCACAACAACAUAUAAAGUAGGUAUUGUCAAUGUCCCAUCUUACAGCCAAGGAAACUGAGGCACAGAAAGGUUCCCUAAGUAAGGGCACGUCCCAGGGUCAGGGCACUUAGCAUAGCUGGCAAGUGACAGAGAUGGGAUUUGAACCCAGGCCACGUGGCUCCAGAGUCCACUCCAUAGCUGUUUUGCAGUUCAGCCUGCUGAUCUUUGGAUGGCAACACCCCAGGCCCUGUGGUAAUUUUCUCACUUUUUCUUUAAUGCAGACAGUCUGAGAAUUAGCAGGAAGUGCAGAGCACGGGUGACAGACGGUUCCAGUUUAAGUUCAGCCGUCUUCCCUCGAGCUUCAUUCGUUGGCGGUUUACAUGUGAGGUGGGGUGGUGACAGUGUUGGCCAGCGCUGGGUGUGCAAGGCCAGACAGAAGUUGCCCAGUCUUUUAGAACUGAGCCACAAGUAGAAUGGGCUUGUUAGAGGCAGGACCGAGGAGCUAGUGGGAAGCGGUUUCUCAGCCUUAGGUAUUCCAGGCACAAUAUGAGAACAUCUCCGUGUAACCCGUGUGCCGUCUCCAGGUGUAGGAGAGAGGCCCUGUUAGCCUUCCCUUCCCUUUUGAUUCUUCUCUGGCCCUUCAUUUUCCUUCCUCCAUCUGCCAUCUGAGGCCCAGUUCCAUCAGGUGGACUGCUCAAGGUUUCUCUUAUGAGCCAGACUCUAGUUUUAAUAGAGGAAAUGUGUUUUCCAGGAAAUGGGAUAAAAAAGUGUUCUCUCCCUUCCACUUGUGAGAGUUAGAGGGUAUUUAAUCAUUUGAAUUUUGAACCCAUCAAAAGUUUCUAAAUGACAUUGGGAUCUGCUUGUUUCCUUGCCUUCUUCUAUAAUCUGUGAUUAGCUUGCUGCGUUUUCUUUCUUCCAGGUGGAUCUGUGAUUCGUUGCUGUUUAGGUUCCUUGCUGGCCAGUGUGUUUCCUUGGCAGCUUUGCCAGGACAGUACCGGCUUUGACUCUAGGUAGGGGAUAAAGAUAGCAUCACCCCUUUUGGGUUUCAUGUUGGCUGGGAACAGCUGCCAGGCUUUGUGUAGCCCCGAACAUAACAUUUCAUUCCUGAAUUGCUGAAAUUUUUAGUUUUUGGCAAGCCAGUUUUUAACCAUGGGGUUCUGACAUUCAGACUCAGAGUGUAGAAUUUUUCUUUGAGAAAUACUGCUUGUCUUGGCAAUUUAGUAGUGGACAAGACCGAGGUGGUAGAGAACAGAGCUGCAGAGUGAGAGGGAGGAGGCUAUUUGCAGAAGUUGUUUUAAAGCUCUGUGCACUUCUCACUUGAAAUGGUUCGAUUUGCUUAGGUACUGCAACAGAGGUGUAGAUAAUUGAGGGAAAUCUUGCGUCAAAUCUAAACAAAAAAAGAAAGAACUGACCUAAAAGUGAGCAGCCGAACUCACCCGAAUGGAAUCACAGAUUUGCCCAGACCAGCUGAACCUGAGAGAACAGGCCAGCGGCAUGGCACUGCUUGUGGGGGACCUUGUGCCCCUCUGAGAGGGACCCCAGGCAGUCCCUGUGGGUCUCCUGCAGCAUUCUGUACCAAGCCACGAAAAGAAAAUGGGAAAGCCAUUUGGAGCUGUGUUUUGGGAGGAUGUUUUCCCUCCCCUGGGAGACCCGGCACCUUGGAUUGCUUGCUUACUGUUUAGAAGAAGAGCUACGUGUGUGAAUUGGGAAUCAGUUGAAAACAAGUGACAGCCCUGCCUCUGACCCCUGAAAUAUAAGAUGCGCCCUCUGAAAUAGCAGUUUUCCUCCAGCUCUCCAGGGUAGGAAGCAGGAUGCCACAGGCACCCUGAGUGGGAGGGGCAGUCAGAAGCCACUUAGCUGCUCCGUGGACGUGGACCCGUUCCUGACACAGGACCUUGAGGUCACGUGGCUGUAAAUACCUGAACACCCAGAGCCUCUCAUCUGUUCAGCCUCAUCCUCCGGGCUGCUGGCAGGGAGGGAGGCCUUUGUUUAUCUCUGAUCCACCGCUGAGCUGCCUGGCCAGCUCCUGGGUCCUCUGCUGCUUACAUCACCAGUUCUCCCAUCUCUUCUUCCUCCUCAGCAUUUCAGUGCCUACUAUGUGCUCAAGAUCGAGGCCAGGCAGCUUGCAAGUGUGUUUCUCCAGGCUGCCCCUCCGAGGAUCUUCUUCCUGCUCUUUCAUCUUCUGACUCAGGCAAAGGCUCUGCCCCCUGGACAAGAGUCUUCCCACUUAUCUGGGUGCCACCUUCUCCUCCCCCUGCGGACCUCAGGACCUCCCGCCUGUCCCUGAGGCUUGACAGGGGUGUUCUUUGUGUCCCGUCCUUGAGUCUCAGCAG